rnacentral:rRNA from 1 species
UACGGAGGAUGCGAGCGUUAUCCGGAUUUAUUGGGUUUAAAGGGUGCGUAGGCGGGUUAUCAAGUCAGCGGUAAAAUCGUGGAGCUCAACUCCAUCCAGCCGUUGAAACUGAUGAUCUUGAGUGGGCGAGAAGUAUGCGGAAUGCGCAGUGUAGCGGUGAAAUGCUUAGAUAUUGCGCAGAACUCCGAUUGCGAAGGCAGCAUACCGGCGGCGAUCUGACGCUGAGGCACGAAAGCGUGGGGAGCAAAUAGG